GUGGGCUCACUCUUGCAAACAGCCUGACUUCCCUCAUCCUUCCAGUUUUUUCAGUCGUGGGGCAAAUGUGCCAAGCCUAAAUGAACUCAACCACCCGUCACUCUUUCCUCUGACUUCAACUGGGCAGAUGAGCUCCCUUAGAAUAAAUCACACAAGACAGUCCCAACCGUGUUAUGGGCUAUGAUGCUACAGGAGCACAUAACUGACCUAACCUUGUCUCAGGGUAGGAUCAAGGACUUUGAAAAUUAUUUUUGAAAUAAUUUUUAUUUUCAGAAGAAACAAUGACAUUGUCAACUGAGAGAUGAGUUGGGAAGUAGGUGAAGAGAAGCAGUGAAAUGAGAAUGUACCAAUAAAUGUGCAAAGGAUCUGCAAAAUACUGGGGUAUGUAUUUGAUUAUCAGGAAUGGGAACCAUGUAGUAGAUGGAGAAGAAUAAAAAGAUACUCAGGAAACAGGUGAAAAACACAUGAGCCUCUGCUGUCAAGAGGGAUUAAAUUAGGUCAGACUUGGAAACAAUGCAGCUGCUAUAAAAUCUACGACAAGUGUUAAGUCACAGUUUGGGAAGGGUCUAGGCUUGGGCCCUAUUUAAAAGCUAAUAAGGUAACCUGUUACUGUUUCAUGGCAGCGCACAUGAGGUUCCUGGGUCGAAGACUAGAGAAUUUCAUUACUUGUGGCCAGAGCAUCCUGUUUGAUGGCUCUCCAAGCCUCCACAGUCCCCCUGGGUGACCGAGGUGGACAUAAAUGGAGUUUGCACAUAAACUGGGUGGUGGUACAGGAAAGGAGUACUAAGUUUGGGGGGUUCAUUCUUUUUACAAUAAGUGGAAGCAAGCCUGCUACUUGGGGAAGACAUUACCUCAGCUCUGAAGAUUGAUCACUCUAAGCAGUCAGUACCUUGUGUUCUUUGCAUACUUAGUAAGAAUUUGCAGGGACACUCAGGGAUCAUGGCCAAUCGCUGCCAGCAGUAUGCUAAGUUCAUGGGAUGGGGGUUGGAGGAGGAUAGCUAAAUUCUCAUACAAAGUUUGAAGAAAGGUGAUGUUGAAGCUGUGUUUCCAUAAGAGGAGUAACUGUUCAUCGAGCCA
ensembl:lncRNA